GAGACAUGAAGGAAGAAAACACGGGCAAAAGAGUUCGAGCCAUUAGAAAGCCAUCAUCAUGGAUAAGCUUAUUUCUCUUCAUUUCCUGUUAGUGCAUGUAAAGUCUGAUUUCAAUAUUAAUUCUUCCUCUUCUGCUACAAAACGACAAUGCAAAAGAUUAAUGAAUUGGAUCAGAAGAUACGAAGAGAAGGAGAAAAGGGUUUUUUUUUUUUCUUUUGCUUUUGUUAUAUUAGUUUAAUUUUAUUCUUAGUGUUUGGAUUUUGAUUGUCCGUAGAUCCGGCAAUUAUCUACGUUUGUCUUCUUCCUCUGAUUUGUAAUUUAG
rnacentral:misc_RNA from 1 species